rnacentral:tRNA from 1 species
ACAUUGGUGAUUCAGUGGUAGAAUUCUUUCCUUGCAUGUGGGAGACCCUGGUUCAAUUCCUGUCCAAAGCA